CUGCUUUGCUGAAAUUGCUGGAGUUGAACAAAUAUUUAAUCUGCAAUUCAGAUGCAAACAUUUUAAUUAGUGAACAAUAAUUUUUUUCAGUUUGCUGAGUGUUAGAUGCUAGUUGCACGUCUCUCUCCCCCAUUCUUUUUCUGUUCAAAUCAUAUUUCAUUAUUCUCUAUCUUUAGGCACUUGGAUUUACUUAUAAAAUAUCAAGUUCUCUUACUGUCUUUUUUUUUUUUUUAAAUUGAAGAAAGACCUAAAAUACAAUUCUCAUAUAGGAAUAAAGAUCUACUCUAAUGAUUUUCUGGAUGAGGAUAUGGCUGGAUUAUUAAAGAUGAAAUUUGUCAUUGGAUUCCAUCAACAGUGGAAUCCACUGCAUAAAUGUGAACUCUACUUUUUGUUCUUUAUUGUUGAAAAGGGGGAAAGUGUUCUGGCGCUGAAAACCAGAGAAAUGAAAUAAAUGAAUCCUUACAGCAGUGGAUCAUGGGAAGCUUCUGUCCAGUUCCUUGUUGGCUCGAACAGCUACAACCUUUAUCAGACAAAAUAAUAGGAAGCAAAGCUGGCAGCGGUAACAUUACUCAGCUUGUGCAGAUAAAAAUGGCUCCUUCCAGUUAGACAGCUGGUCCAGAGAACUUCAUGGAUCUCAAAUUAUUUUCGCU